rnacentral:lncRNA from 1 species
AGUGUCCCCAGACUUUGAAGAGAGUGGGGAAGGGGCCUUCAGGGGGUCCCUGCAGGAAGGGAGCGCAGAGGCAGCGGCCGGCCCAGCGAGCAUCAUCAGAUACCUGUGGCUCUCAGGCCCUCCCUUCUGUCCCUGCCCCCUGCAGAGAAUGAUCUGGAAGGAUUCUCUGUUUUGGAAUCUCCAUCUCUGAGAGCUGUUCUCCUUUCAUUUCUGUUGCUCUGAUGAAACAACCUACGGAAAAAAACAGCUUAAUAGAGAAGGGAUUAUUUUAGCUCUACCCCUUGAGGUUCCUGCGUUGGUUUCCCUGGAUGAUGGGCUGUAACCUCUAACCCAGAAAAGCACAUAACUUGUUUAAGCCAGCCGAAUAUGUGAUGAACACACAGCAUCAUUACAGCUAAAUAA